UAGUUUUACUUUUUAAAGGCCUUAUAAUCACUGUUAAACAUUUUCUGCAUCUAUUUCCACUUCAUUAAGCACCUUGAUGAUUUCUUAAUUGAAUAAUAAUAUUUUCGUUGAUCUUUUUCUUGCGCUCCUUUUGGAUAGUUCGCAAUUGGGUAUGUUUUAAAUAUGAAUACAUUAUUUAGCUUUUAGUAGGCUUCAUGCGCUCUAAUCCUAAUUUUUGAUGCAGAUAAAAAUAUCAUUGCUGCUUGCUUUUAAUAUAUUUCUUCUCACGUUCCUGAACUGGCCACCGCAUUCUCCACAUUUGACAUGCUUGUAUUUCUUCAUGUGGGGUCAAAUAUAAAACAAGUAACCUGUGCAAUCAAUAGUCUUGAAGCAUCUAAAGAUCUGGUUGCCACCGAAAAUGUGCUGACUGUUUUUGCUCAUGUACACCAAUUCAUGCGCCACUUCUUUGAAUCUUGUUGAUACUCGCUCUAUCAAUUUCAGGACUCCAUUACACCUCACACUAUAGUCACUCUUCCUAAUUCCAAAGGCUUGCAACUCCUUCUUUGUUAUGAUAUAUCUGUAAUGAGAGGAGCCAGGCCCUGUAAAGAGGUUAAGUCUGAGCUACAUCUCAGAAAAGAUAUAAGAAAUUUAUUUUAAUGUAAUUUUUUUCCCUAUCGCAGAAUAUGUAUUACUUACUUAUGCCUCUGUAUGUAAUAAAAAUAUAAUUCAGUA